AGCUCCAAUAGCGUAUAUUAAAGUUGCUGCAGUUAAAAAGCUCGUAGUUGGAUUUGUGGCGGCCGUCCGGCGGGGGUCCUUCCAUGGUCUCGUUUGUCCUGAUUUUCGGCCGCUCCUUUCUCGGGUAGAGCAUAAUGGCUGGCAUUAGGUUGUCGGCCGCUUCGCGCCCGUCGUUUACUGUGAAAAAAUUAGAGUGUUCAAAGCAGGCUUAGGCCGUUGGAUACAUUAGCAUGGAAUAAUGAGAUAGGGCCACGGCGGUCUAUUUUGUUGGUUUGCACGUUGUGGUAAUGAUUAACAGGAACGGUUGGGGGUAUUCGUAUUCAAUUGUCAGAGGUGAAAUUCUUGGACUUGUGGAAGACCAACUACUGCGAAAGCAUUUACCAAGGAUGUUUUCAUUAAU
rnacentral:rRNA from 1 species